rnacentral:rRNA from 1 species
AUUGAACGCUGGCGGAAUGCUUUACACAUGCAAGUCGAACGGCGGCACGGGGGCAACCCUGGUGGCGAGUGGCGAACGGGUGAGUAAUACAUCGGAACGUGCCCGGUCGUGGGGGAUAACGUAGCGAAAGUUACGCUAAUACCGCAUACGAUCUGAGGAUGAAAGCGGGGGACCUUCGGGCCUCGCGCGAUCGGAGCGGCCGAUGUCAGAUUAGGUAGUUGGUGGGGUAAAGGCCUACCAAGCCGACGAUCUGUAGCUGGUCUGAGAGGACGACCAGCCACACUGGGACUGAGACGCGGCCCAGACUCCUACGGGAGGCAGCAGUGGGGAAUUUUGGACAAUGGGCGCAAGCCUGAUCCAGCCAUUCCGCGUGCAGGACGAAGGCCUUCGGGUUGUAAACUGCUUUUGUAUGGAACGAAAAGGCUCUGGCUAAUACCUGGGGCUCAUGACGGUACCGUAAGAAUAAGCACCGGCUAACUACGUG